AUUGAACGCUGGCGGCAGGCUUAACACAUGCAAGUCGAGCGAGCGGCGGACGGGUGAGUAAUGUCUUGGAAACUGCCUGAUGGAGGGGGAUAACUACUGGAAACGGUAGCUAAUACCGCAUACCAUCAGAUGUGCCCAGAUGGGAUUGGCCAGUAGGUGGGGUAAUGGCUCACCUAGGCGACGAACCCUAGCUGGUGUGAGAGGAUGACCAGCCCCACUGGAACUGUGACACGGUCCAGACGCCUACGGGAGCCAGCAGUUGGGAAUAUUGCGCAAGGGGCGCAAGCCUGAUGCAGCCAUGCCGAGUGUGUGAAGAAGGCCUUCGGGGUGUAAAGCACUUUCAGCGAGGAGGCGUUACUCGCAGAAGAAGCACCGGCUAACUCCGUGCCAGCCGCCGCGGUAAUUC
rnacentral:rRNA from 1 species